rnacentral:tRNA from 1 species
GGAGAUAUGGUUUAAGUGGUAAAGCACCUGCUUAGCAGGCAUGGAGCCCUGAGUUCAAACCCCAGUACUACCU